rnacentral:tRNA from 1 species
GUCUGUGUAAUUCAGCGGAAGAAUGCUUGCCUACGGAGCAAGAGGUCGCAGGUUCGAUCCCUGCCACAGAUU